rnacentral:rRNA from 1 species
AUGCUGCGCCGCCUUCAGCGUGUCGGCGCCCAGGCGAUCGCCGCCCUGUGGCCCAACAUGUCGGCCCCGCGCACCCCCAGCCGGACUGCCGACUGGCUGGAGGUGGCGGCUGGCCGUCUUGAGGCGUGGAAGGGCUCCUUGGCCCAGGCCGGAGCACGCCCGACCUUAGAGUUCGUCAAGGCGUGGUACCCUGGGCUAAAUCUAGCCCAGUUGACCAUGUUCCGACAGGAAGCCCAGGAGGAGCUGGUGGCAGUGGAGGGCGAACUCGUCAAGCGGGCGGCAGCCCUCGCCGAGUACACCGACACUGGCAUCUUCAUCCCGGAGCUGGCCGAGAACGGCGCCAAGGCGCCGCUAGAGUGGUUUGGGCUGAACCUGGAGGAGGACGAGGACUCGGCCAAGGUGAUCGACUCCAGUGACGAGGGAGAGGACGAUGGGGAGGAGGGCGAAGAGGAGGUGCCAGAGGUCGGAGCGGACGGCCAACCUCAACUCGACCGCGCCUCCAGCAAUGAGCCAUGUCCAAGCGACCCGGCUGCUGCUGAAGGAGACCAAGUGGAGACCGACCAGCUGGCCGCUCGACCAGCUGGCGCUACCAACUCCACCAUUUCGCCGAACCCGCCUGCUGCUUCCUAG